GUGGGGAAUCUUGCGCAAUGGGCGAAAGCCUGACGCAGCCAUGCCGCGUGAAUGAUGAAGGUCUUAGGAUUGUAAAAUUCUUUCACCGGGGACGAUAAUGACGGUACCCGGAGAAGAAGCUCCGGCUAACUUCGUGCCAGCAGCCGCGGUAAUACGAAGGGGGCUAGCGUUGCUCGGAAUUACUGGGCGUAAAGGGCGCGUAGGCGGACAGCUUAGUCAGAGGUGAAAGCCCAGGGCUCAACCUUGGAAUUGCCUUUGAUACUGGCUGUCUUGAGUUUGGGAGAGGUGAGUGGAACUCCGAGUGUAGAGGUGAAAUUCGUAGAUAUUCGGAAGAACACCAGUGGCGAAGGCGACUCACUGGCCCAAUACUGACGCUGAGGCGCGAAAGCGUGGGGAUCGAACAGGAUUAGAAACCCGAGUAGUCC
rnacentral:rRNA from 1 species